AGUCGGGGGAAACCCGUCUGA
rnacentral:snRNA from 1 species